UGAUACAGGUCUGAAAGACCAAUGGAGACAAGACGGCAACAUACUGUACAAGAUGCCCAUCUUCAGAUAACUAUCUUCCUCAACCACAGAAAAGCUGGUUCAGUCUCAUUCCAGGUGAUCCGUCACCUCUAGAGGCGGCAGGGUAGCCUAGUGGUUAGAGUGGAGGGGCGGCAGGUAGCCUAGUGGUUAGAGUGGAGGGGCGGCAGGUAGCCUAGUGGUUAGAGUGGAGGGGCGGCAGGGUAGCCUAGUGGUUAGAGUGGAGGGGCGGCAGGUAGCCUAGUGGUUAGAGUGGAGGGGCGGCAGGUAGCCUAGUGGUUAGAGUGGAGGGGCGGCAGGUAGCCUAGUGGUUAGAGUGGAGGGGCGGCAGGGUAGCCUAGUGGUUAGAGUGGAGGGGCGGCAGGGUAGCCUAGUGGUUAGAGUGGAGGGGCGGCAGGGUAGCCUAGUGGUUAGAGUGGAGGGGCGGCAGGUAGCCUAGUGGUUAGAGUGGAGGGGCGGCAGGGUAGCCUAGUGGUUAGAGUGGAGGGGCGGCAGGGUAGCCUAGUGGUUAGAGCGUUGGACUAGUAACCGGAAGGUUGCAAGUACAAAUCCCCGAGCUGACAAGGUACAAAUCUGUCGUUCUGCCCCUGAACAGGCAGUUAACCCACAGUUCCUAGGC
ensembl:lncRNA